rnacentral:rRNA from 1 species
GACGAACGCUGGCGGCGUGCCUAAUACAUGCAAGUCGAGCGGAGCGGAGGAAGCUUGCUUCCAAAGCUCAGCGGCGGACGGGUGAGUAACACGUGGGUAACCUGCCUGGCAGACUGGGAUAACGCUUGGAAACGAGUGCUAAUACCGGAUAGUCUUCUGAACCGCAUGGUUCGGAAGGGAAAGAGGCUUUCGCCUCACUGUCAGAUGGACCCGCGGCGCAUUAGCUAGUUGGUGAGGUAACGGCUCACCAAGGCGACGAUGCGUAGCCGACCUGAGAGGGUGACCGGCCACACUGGGACUGAGACACGGCCCAGACUCCUACGGGAGGCAGCAGUAGGGAAUCUUCCACAAUGGGCGAAAGCCUGAUGGAGCAACGCCGCGUGAGUGAUGAAGGCCUUUGGGUUGUAAAACUCUGUCUUCUGUGACGAACAAGCCUGUGAGUGGAAUGCUCAGGCCCUGACGGUAACAGAGGAGGAAGCCACGGCUAACUACGUGCCAGCCGCCGCAGUAA